GUCGACGAAGCAUUUGCGAAGAUUUUUUCGGAAUGAAGUUGCUUAUGACUGAGUGGCGGACGGGUGAGUAACGCGUGGGUAACCUGCCUUGUACUGGGGGAUAGCAGCUGGAAACGGCUGGUAAUACCGCAUAAGCGCACAAUGUUGCAUGACAUGGUGUGAAAAACUCCGGUGGUAUAAGAUGGACCCGCGUCUGAUUAGCUAGUUGGUGAGAUAACAGCCCACCAAGGCGACGAUCAGUAGCCGACCUGAGAGGGUGACCGGCCACAUUGGGACUGAGACACGGCCCAGACUCCUACGGGAGGCAGCAGUGGGGAAUAUUGCACAAUGGAGGAAACUCUGAUGCAGCGACGCCGCGUGAGUGAAGAAGUAAUUCGUUAUGUAAAGCUCUAUCAGCAGGGAAGAUAGUGACGGUACCUGACUAAGAAGCUCCGGCUAAAUACGUGCCAGCAGCCGCGGUAAUACGUAUGGAGCAAGCGUUAUCCGGAUUUACUGGGUGUAAAGGGAGUGUAGGUGGCCAUGCAAGUCAGAAGUGAAAAUCCGGGGCUCAACCCCGGAACUGCUUUUGAAACUGUAAGGCUGGAGUGCAGGAGGGGUGAGUGGAAUUCCUAGUGUAGCGGUGAAAUGCGUA
rnacentral:rRNA from 1 species